rnacentral:misc_RNA from 1 species
UAUUAUCAUCAUGGCGCUUGCCGAUGUCUGUGGCUUGAAAACAAACCAGUUAAAAAAUAGUUUUCUUAGUGAUUUUGGAGGGUCAUCUACACAUUUGUUAGACGAUGCCUUAACUUCAACAACCAACUUCACAGUCCCUUACGGCAUAGAUCCGGUUGAGAGUCUAAAGGAAUUUACAAAUCCUAAAAGUGAUGUCAAGAUCCACUUUGACCAUGGAACCACAACCCUGGCCUUCAAAUUUCAACAUGGUGUCAUUGUUGCUGUUGAUUCAAGAGCCACUGCAGGACCUUCUAUUGAGUCCCAGACCGUUAAAAAAGUGAUUGAAAUCAACCCAUAUUUACUUGGAACUAUGGCGGGUGGAGCUGCAGAUUGUGCUUACUGGGAAAGGGUACUAGCGAGACAAUGUCGGAUAUAUGAAUUAAGGAACAAGGAGAGGAUAUCAGUUGCUGCAGCAUCCAAACUGUUGGCAAAUAUUGUUUACAACUACAAAGGAAUGGGACUCUCUAUGGCAAGUUGUUCUCCAUAAAUUUAAAAAUUUCAUCUGUAAUACAGUAUAUACCUUGCCUGAACAAAAAAAAUCUUGUGAACAUUGACAAUUUCAAUUAAUUGUCGGAUGAGAGCAUUUAAAAAUCAUUUGGAAAACUUGAAACACGUCUAACUGAAAUUAGGUCGUGUAAUUUGAUUUAUAAUGAAAUAAAAUCAAGUUGAGAUAUUUGAUAUACAUUUGAAGGAAAUUAAAUCUUAAACAUGCCAUUUAUCCGAUAUUAUAAAAAUUUUUUCAGAACUAUACAAAUUCAUCACCAUAACUUUCGCUGGUAAAUUUCGUGGUGGCUAUAAUUAUAUUUGUCAGUUACUGACCAACAAAGCCAAUUGAAAUCUAAUGAACUAAGAUGACAUGUGACUUUUCACAUCCUUUGUACAUUGUAAAUGCAUAUAUAUGUAUUUCAUUUUACUAAAAACUUCACAAGUGCUCUUUUUCUUGAAUUCAAAAUUAAUUAGAUAAUUUUUAUUGUUUCAUUGCAGGGAACUAUGAUUUGUGGAUGGGACAAAAGGGUAAGAUAUACUGAAUCAGUCUAUGCAUACAACACAUGAUUAUUUUAAGUAUUAUAAAGAAAGGGCCAUUUUUAAUGCCUAAUCAAUGAGUUAUGUUUUUAUAUUGAGAAUAAACAACUUGUAGAAACUCUUCAUAUACUACAUGUAAUUAAAAUACAUUUCAGUCAUUCAUCUUAUUUUGUUUCACAAGGGACCUGGUCUGUACUACGUUGACAGUGACGGAGAACGAAUGUCUAACAACAUAUACUCUGUGGGUUCUGGGUCAGUCUACGCCUACGGUGUUUUAGACAGCGGCUACCGAUACGACCUUUCUGUGGAGGAAGCUAUUGACCUUGGAAGGAGGUCGAUCUACCAUGCCACACACAGGGACGCAUACAGUGGUGGUGUAGUCAACUUGUACCACAUGAAGGAAAGUGGUUGGGAAUUCAUCUCACAGACCGAUGUAUUUGAUCUCCAUUAUCAGUAUAAGGCCGAGAAGGAGAAGAAAUGAGAACUGAUCAUCUCUGUGUAAAAGUGCUAUCAGAACAAUACAUCAUCAUGUUCCUGCAAUGUUGUCAUUUGUUGGUAAUAAUAUGUAAAUAAAAAUUUUGUCCAUUG